AAUACGAAGGUCCCGAGCGUUGUUCGGAAUCACUGGGCGUAAAGGGAGCGUAGGCGGCGUGGUAAGUCAGAUGUGAAAUCCCGGGGCUCAACCCCGGAACUGCAUCCGAUACUGCCGUGCUAGAGGAUUGGAGAGGUAGCUGGAAUUCUUGGUGUAGCAGUGAAAUGCGUGGAGAUCAAGAGGAACACUCGUGGCGAAAGCGAGCUACUGGACAAUAUCUGACGCUGAGGCUCGAAGGCCAGGGUAGCGAAAGG
rnacentral:rRNA from 1 species